rnacentral:rRNA from 1 species
CCUACGGAGGGCUGCAGUGAGGAAUAUUGGUCAAUGGCCGUAAGGCUGAACCAGCCAAGCCGCGUGAAGGAAGAAGGAGCUAUGGUUUGUAAACUUCUUUUAUAGGGGAAUAAAGGUAUCCACGUGUGGCUAUUUGCAUGUACCCUAUGAAUAAACAUCGGCUAACUCCGUGCCAGCAGCCGCGGUAAUACGGAGGAUGCGAGCGUUAUCCGGAUUUAUUGGGUUUAAAGGGUGCGUAGGUUGUUUUUUAAGUCAGCGGUGAAAGUUUGUGGCUCAACCAUAAAAUUGCCGUUGAAACUGGAAGACUUGAGUGUGUUUGAGGUAGGCGGAAUGCGUGGUGUAGCGGUGAAAUGCAUAGAUAUCACGCAGAACUCCGAUUGCGAAGGCAGCUUACUAAGCCAUAACUGACACUGAAGCACGAAAGCGUGGGGAUCAAACAGGAUUAGAUACCCUAGUAGUC